rnacentral:misc_RNA from 1 species
UAGUUUCCAAGCCUAAAACGGAGCUGUUCAAGGUCAGGGCGACGGCAGUGCCGGAGAAUGCUGAUGAGGGCGAGAAAUCGAGUAGCAUGAUCAAGACUUUGGAGCUUGGAUUGUUGUUUGGGCUUUGGUUUCUUUUCAAUAUAUAUUUCAAUAUCUACAACAAGCAGGUUUUGAAGGUCUAUCCGUACCCAGUAACUGUUACUGUAGUUCAGUU